UACGGGGGGGGCAAGCGUUGUUCGGAAUUACUGGGCGUAAAGGGCGCGUAGGCGGCCUUCUAAGUCGGACGUGAAAUCCCUCGGCUCAACCGAGGAACUGCGUCCGAUACUGAAAGGCUUGAAUCCGGGAGAGGGAUGUGGAAUUCCAGGUGUAGCGGUGAAAUGCGUAGAUAUCGUAAGGAAGACCAGUGGCGAAGGCGGGUCUCUGGACAGUUCCUGACGCUGAGGCACGAAGGUCAGGGGAGCAAACGGG
rnacentral:rRNA from 1 species